rnacentral:misc_RNA from 1 species
UAUAUAUGGAGGUUCUGUAAAUGGCGCAAACUGCAAAGAGUUGGCAGGACAACCUGAUUUGGACGGAUUUUUGGUCGGUGGAGCUUCGCUAAAGCCGGAGUUCGUGGACAUUAUCAAGUCUGCAUUGUGAAGAAAACCGCGCAGAUGUCUUGAAGAGCGAGACAUAAAUGAUGGUUCUUCUGUUUUGUUAAAGUAAUUUGAGGUACUCCUCACUAGUUAUGUAAGAGAAGCCUUGUUUGCUUUGAGGAAUUUGAGGCUCCUUGUUUGCUUUGAGGAAUUUGAGGCUCCUUGUUUGCUUUGA